rnacentral:rRNA from 1 species
UACGUAGGGUGCAAGCGUUGUCCGGAAUUAUUGGGCGUAAAGAGCGUGUAGGCGGCCACUUAAGUCCUGCGUGAAAUCUUGCGGCUCAACCGCAAGCGGUCGUGGGAAACUGGGUGGCUAGAGUGCGGGAGAGGAGAGUGGAAUUCCUGGUGUAGCGGUGGAAUGCGCAGAUAUCAGGAAGAACACCGGUGGCGAAGGCGGUUCUCUGGGCCUUACCUGACGCUGAGGAGCGAAAGCGUGGGGAGCAAACAGG